GACCCCAGGUCAGGUGGGACUACCCGCUGAGUUU
rnacentral:rRNA from 1 species